rnacentral:rRNA from 1 species
GCUUACGGCCACACCGCCUGGUUAAAGCCCGAUCUCGUUUGAUCUCGGAAGCUAAGAUAGGUUGUGCCUGUUUAGUACUUGGAUGGGAGACCGCCUGGGAAUACCAGGUGCUGUAACUU